rnacentral:rRNA from 1 species
CCCAAUCAUCUGCCCCACCUUCGGCGGCUGGCUCCAUAAAGGUUACCUCACCGACUUCGGGUGUUGCAAACUCUCGUGGUGUGACGGGCGGUGUGUACAAGGCCCGGGAACGUAUUCACCGCGGCAUGCUGAUCCGCGAUUACUAGCGAUUCCAGCUUCACGCAGUCGAGUUGCAGACUGCGAUCCGAACUGAGAACAGAUUUGUGGGAUUGGCUAAACCUUGCGGUCUCGCAGCCCUUUGUUCUGUCCAUUGUAGCACGUGUGUAGCCCAGGUCAUAAGGGGCAUGAUGAUUUGACGUCAUCCCCACCUUCCUCCGGUUUGUCACCGGCAGUCACCUUAGAGUGCCCAACUAAAUGCUGGCAACUAAGAUCAAGGGUUGCGCUCGUUGCGGGACUUAACCCAACAUCUCACGACACGAGCUGACGACAACCAUGCACCACCUGUCACUCUGUCCCCGAAGGGAAAGCCCUAUCUCUAGGGUUGUCAGAGGAUGUCAGGGGAGACUGGAAUUCCUGGUGUAGCGGUGGAAUGCGCAGAUAUCAGGAGGAACACCGGUGGCGAAGGCGGGUCUCUGGGCAGUAACUAGACCUGGUAAGGAUCUUCGCGUUGCUUCNAAUUAAACCACAUGUUCCACCGCUUGUGUGGNCCCCCGUCAUUCCU